rnacentral:lncRNA from 1 species
AUGACUGAGAAGCUCUCAACACAGAGCACAGGCACUUCCCAAGAAAGAUGCCCUGCGACACAGGAGUCACCAGUCCAGAGGGAGCUGUCUGUGCUGCCACGAGCUCCAAGACCCUCAGGGACCUGCAUUCCCAUCGCCAAUGUGGAAGAGCUUGCCAGAUGCCUCAGGAGGUCCCUUGACACCACCCAAAUUGCUGUCAAUCUGCUCGGCAAGCUGAUGAGCAGAAAAAUGGCGCGUGAGACUCCCCUUCUGUGCAGAGACGUGAUGGAGGAAUACCCCGUCUGCCUGCAGUGCUGCUGGUGCCUCACUAACAGCUGCCCACACCACAACCGGCCCACAGCCGCCCAGGACAUGGCCAUGCUGGCUGCUUUCCUCCUCUUCGUGAACAUGGAGAUUGAGGGAACGAACAUCCAGGUCCAACUGGGGCUGGGCUUUGAGCUGACAAUCAACAGGAAGGCAGUGUACAAAUGGGAAAUAACACAGAAGCUCCCACAAAUGGCCGGCUCCAGGAGAGGUUGCAAGCAGCGAGGUGUUUCUCUGCACGACAGCUCAUCGGACAGCAAGGGCUUGUGGCUGUCAUCUCUGUCACAGGCAGCAGCCCCGCUCACAGAGGCACAGGGGACACAGGAGGGACAGAAGCCACGAGGGGGAAGGCUCAAGGGCCAGGCUGGGUGGAAGGAAAGGGCUCCUCCUGCAAAGCAGGCAUCCACGUGCUCUGUCUCCACCAGCACGACAGACCUGCAGAGAGCUGGGCAGAGGGGGUCUUCUCCAUCACCAACCCCCACGGUGCCCUUGCCCCCAUGGGCACAGCCACCCUCCCGUGCUGCUCUCACCAGGCUCCGGAGAGCUGCCUGUAAGCCUGUGCCUUUCACUGACUACAAGUGCGUGGGGCAGGGCAGAAACAUGCAGCGCCUGCAGAGAUGGUGGAGCGGGCUGCGGAGCAGGGUGGACAGACGCGUCCGGAGGAAGCCGGGCUGGCUUCCAGGAGCAGAGAGCUCAGCACCCACAGGCACCGCUGGAGCAGAGCAGCAGCACCAGCUGCGUGCUCGUGAGGCUGAAAUCCAUGCGCUCUUCAACGCCAUGGUCAUGGACGUGUAA